GAUGAACGCUGGCGGCGCGCCUAACACAUGCAAGUCGAACGGUUAAAGCACCUUUUAGGUGUGUAUAAAGUGGCGAACGGCUGAGUAACACGUGGGCAACCUGCCCUCCUCUUGGGGAUAGCCUCGGGAAACCGAGGAUAAUACCCGAUACUUCAAUGUGGCCGCAUGACGACAUUGAGAAAGCUUUUGCGGAGAAGGAUGGGCCCGCGGCCUGUUAGCUUGUUGGUGGGGUAGAGGCCUACCAAGGCAAUGAUGGGUAGCUGGGUUGAGAGACCGACCAGCCAGAUUGGGACUGAGACACGGCCCAGACUCCUACGGGAGGCAGCAGUGGGGAAUCUUGCACAAUGGGCGAAAGCCUGAUGCAGCGACGCCGCGUGCGGGAAGAAGGCCUUCGGGUUGUAAACCGCUUUCAGCAGGGACGAGGCGAAA
rnacentral:rRNA from 2 species